rnacentral:ncRNA from 1 species
AAAAAGUUUAAUUUUAGCUUAAUAGUUUAGUUUAUUAAUUUUUUUAUAUGUAAAUUUUUGUAAGAAUAAGAAUUUAUUUAAAUAAUAAUUAAUUUUUUUAAUCGCAGUAUUUAAUUUUAAUCAUUAAAGAAAUUUAGAAUUAGUAAUUUAUAAAGUAUGGACUAAAUUUGUGCCAGCAGUUGCGGUUAUACAAAUUAUACAAUUAAAUUAUAUUAGAAAUAGUUAAAUAAUUAAUAAAUCUAUAAAUAAGUAUAAUUUUUUAGGUGAAAUUUAAAAUUAUAUAAAAAUUAUUAAGAGUUUUCGAAUCUAAAAAAUUUUUUUUAUAAACUAGGAUUAGAUACCCUAUUAUUGAAAAUAAAAAUUGUUAUUCUUAAUUAGUAUUAGUUAAGUUCUUGAAAAUUAAAAAAUUUGGCGGUAUUUUAGUCUUUUCAGAGGAAUCUGUUCUAUAAUUGAUAAUCCACAAUUAGAUUUACUUAUUUUAUAAAUUUAUAUAUCAUCGUAGUAGAAUAUUUUAUAAGAAUUAUUAAUAUUCAAGAUUUAUAAUAAUAAAAGAAGUCAGAUCAAGGUGUAGUUAAUGAAUAAGAAGAAAUGGAUUACAUUUAAAUAAUUAAUGAAUAUUAUUUUUUAAUAAAUAAUUGAAAUUGGAUUUGGAAGUAAUUUUUUUAAUAUUAUAAGAAUGAUUAAAGCUCUAAAAUAUGUACAUAUUGCCCGUCGCUUUUGUUUUAAGAUGAAAUAAGUCGUAACAAAGUAGAUUUACUGGAAAGUGAAUCUAGAAACAA